rnacentral:rRNA from 1 species
UGCAGUCGAGCGAGUCUGCCUUGAAGAUCGGAGUGCUUGCACUCUGUGAAACAAGAUACAGGCUAGCGGCGGACGGGUGAGUAACACGUGGGUAACCUGCCCAAGAGAUCGGGAUAACACCUGGAAACAGAUGCUAAUACCGGAUAACAACAGAUGAUGCCUAUCAACUGUUUAAAAGAUGGUUCUGCUAUCACUCUUGGAUGGACCUGCGGUGCAUUAGCUAGUUGGUAGGGUAACGGCCUACCAAGGCGAUGAUGCAUAGCCGAGUUGAGAGACUGAUCGGCCACAUUGGGACUGAGACACGGCCCAAACUCCUACGGGAGGCAGCAGUAGGGAAUCUUCCACAAUGGACGCAAGUCUGAUGGAGCAACGCCGCGUGAGUGAAGAAGGGUUUCGGCUCGUAAAGCUCUGUUGUUGGUGAAGAAGGACAGGGGUAGUAACUGACCUUUGUUUGACGGUAAUCAAUUAGAAAGUCACGGCUAACUACGUGCCAGCAGCCGCGGUAAUACGUAGGUGGCAAGCGUUGUCCGGAUUUAUUGGGCGUAAAGCGAGUGCAGGCGGCUCGAUAAGUCUGAUGUGAAAGCCUUCGGCUCAACCGGAGAAUUGCAUCAGAAACUGUCGAGCUUGAGUACAGAAGAGGAGAGUGGAACUCCAUGUGUAGCGGUGAAAUGCGUAGAUAUAUGGAAGAACACCGGCGGCGAAGGCGGCUCUCUGGUCUGUUACUGACGCUGAGGCUCGAAAGCAUGGGUAGCGAACAGGAUUAGAUACCCUGGUAGUCCAUGCCGUANACGAUGAGUGCUAAGUGUUGGGAGGUUUCCGCCUCUCAGUGCUGCAGCUAACGCAUUAAGCACUCCGCCU